CAACCGUCACAGGGUUCAUGAGCUUGGCGCUCUCUCCGAUGGCAUCCUCAAUGUAUUUGCGCUCCUCCUCAGAGAUGCUGGGGUGGAGUGCAGGUGACUCGUAGGAGACAAGCAACCAGAACAGCCAGCCCGAGUGCCACCCAGAGCCACGCAUCUGAGUCCCUCACCAUAGACAUAGAAGACAGAACUCCAUCCUGAAUACUGUACCAGGACCCCAGCCAGGGGCAUGGCAACCACUGCUCCGGCAUAGGAACCUGAAGAGACAACAAGGGUAGAGAACAGACGGAGACCCGGGUCUUUCCUAGAUCCAGGAGAGCAGCCCCUCAGCCCUGAAAUCUCUGCCACACCUAAGCUGAGAUCACAGCUCAGCACCCUUCACACAAGAGCUGGUCCCCAGCCCCUUCCUCUCACCGCAAAAAGCUGUCGUCGCCAGCCGACUCCGUUCUAAGGGAGGGGCCCAUUUGCUCCAGAUGCCGUGGCAAGCAGGGAGUGCAUGGCAAAACCCACGUCUUGGGCCAGACGCAGAAUCUGAGUUCGAAUUCCUUCCAGCGCCAGGGGUCCAGGCCACCAGCUCUCUCCUGCCCACCCCCCUCUCCUGCCUCAACUCUGGGGUCAAGAUCUUCAGUCGACUUCUCCCCAGUCCUCUCUCAUCUCUCUCUGCUAGGGAGUUAUAGACUCUAUACAACCCUUUGGAAUCAAAGAGCAGGUGCCUGCCUGCUAGCCCUCCCCCGCCCCCCCCGCAAGGCUCCAAGACUGUCCCCAGCCCCCUCCAGCAGAUGCAGAUCCGAGUCUAUUUGAGUCAGCAAAGGUACAAAGGAGAGCCCUGCGCAAAGGUGUCAACAGAGCAGAUGCUUCCGAGCCA